rnacentral:rRNA from 1 species
UACGUAGGGUGCGAGCGUUGUCCGGAAUUAUUGGGCGUAAAGAGCUCGUAGGCGGUUUGUCGCGUCGGGAGUGAAAACACACAGCUUAACUGUGUGCUUGCUUCCGAUACGGGCAGACUAGAGGUAUGCAGGGGAGAACGGAAUUCCUGGUGUAGCGGUGAAAUGCGCAGAUAUCAGGAGGAACACCGGUGGCGAAGGCGGUUCUCUGGGCAUUACCUGACGCUGAGGAGCGAAAGUGUGGGGAGCGAACAGG